AGGGAUCACCCGUUAGUGCAGGACUGAUCUCAGGAGUCACCCAUUAGAUUAGGGAUAACUCCAUAGCAGUUGUCUUUACCCGUGGAACAGUACUGACACCCUUCCAGCUGGGGCUACAGGUUGGAACCUACUAGUUCAAAUUUGGGGAAUGUCGGUUAGAUAACUACUUCCCACAGUCUCAGUUUUAGAUUCUGUCUCUGUGUUAGAAC
rnacentral:lncRNA from 1 species